rnacentral:rRNA from 1 species
UACGUAGGUGGCAAGCGUUGUCCGGAUUUAUUGGGUUUAAAGGGUGCGUAGGCGGCCCCGUAAGUCAGUGCUGAAGUAUCCCGGCUUAACCGGGAGGGUGGCAUUGAUACUGCAGGGCUUGAGUAAAGUUGAGGUAGGCGGAAUUGACGGUGUAGCGGUGAAAUGCUUAGAUAUCGUCAAGAACACCGAUAGUGUAGACAGCUUACUAAGCUUUAACUGACGCUGAGGCACGAAAGUGUGGGGAUCAAACAGG